GAGCAUUUCUGUAAUCGUUGAUAUCCAUGUGCGUUGCUGUUCCUCAUCCAGUCCAGAGGUUGCCAUCAAAUUCCUUUCUGGAAUCAUAUAGUAUGGUAGCUCUAAGGUGAUCAAUGCAACUCUAAGCGCAUCCAAUGCUUCAUGCAACCACUGCAAAAUACUUUUUUUAUGAAACGAGGCUUGAGGAUUAUUUUCCGCCAUCCAUAAAACGAUGUUUUUCAAUGU